rnacentral:rRNA from 1 species
AUUGAACGCUGGCGGAAUGCUUUACACAUGCAAGUCGAACGGUAGAGGGGGCAACCCCUCGAGAGUGGCGAACGGGUGAGUAAUAUAUCGGAACGUGCCCAGUCGUGGGGGAUAACGUAGCGAAAGUUACGCUAAUACCGCAUACGAUCUAAGGAUGAAAGCGGGGGAUCGCAAGACCUCGCGCGAUUGAAGCGGCCGAUAUCAGAUUAGGUAGUUGGUGGGGUAAAGGCUCGCCAAGCCAACGAUCUGUAGCUGGUCUGAGAGGACGACCAGCCACACUGGAACUGAGACACGGUCCAGACUCCUACGGGAGGCAGCAGUGGGGAAUUUUGGACAAUGGACGCAAGUCUGAUCCAGCCAUUCCGCGUGCAGGAUGAAGGCCCUCGGGUUGUAAACUGCUUUUGUACGGAACGAAAAGGUCUCUCUUAAUACGGGGGACUCAUGACGGUACCGUAAGAAUAAGCACCGGCUAACUACGUGCCAGCCGCCGCAGUAA